UGCUCGAGGAUGCGGAGACGAUGCUUUA
rnacentral:piRNA from 1 species